rnacentral:rRNA from 1 species
AAACCAACCGGGAUUGCCUUAGUAACGGCGAGUGAAGCGGCAAAAGCUCAAAUUUGAAAUCUGGUACCUUCGGUGCCCGAGUUGUAAUUUGGAGAGGGCAACUUUGGGGCCGUUCCUCGUCUAUGUUCCUUGGAACAGGACGUCAUAGAGGGUGAGAAUCCCGUGUGGCGAGGAGUGCGGUUCUUUGUAAAGUGCCUUCGAAGAGUCGAGUUGUUUGGGAAUGCAGCUCUAAGUGGGUGGUAAAUUCCAUCUAAAGCUAAAUAUUGGCGAGAGACCGAUAGCGAACAAGUACAGUGAUGGAAAGAUGAAAAGAACUUUGAAAAGAGAGUGAAAAAGUACGUGAAAUUGUUGAAAGGGAAGGGCAUUUGAUCAGACAUGGUGUUUUGUGCCCUCUGCUCCUUGUGGGUAGGGGAAUCUCGCAUUUCACUGGGCCAGCAUCAGUUUUGGUGGCAGGAUAAAUCCAUAGGAAUGUAGCUUGCCUCGGUAAGUAUUAUAGCCUGUGGGAAUACUGCCAGCUGGGACUGAGGACUGCGACGUAAGUCAAGGAUGCUGGCAUAAUGGUUAUAUGCCGC